rnacentral:lncRNA from 1 species
AAUGUCAAUGGAAAUAUUAUACAUACUUGGUACUGAUACAUGCAUAGUAGUCUGAAAACAACAUAAGUACAUAAGUACAUAAGAUAACACAAUGGUGCUCCAUCGUUUUUGUAUUUAAUUCAAGUACAAAAUGUCACAACGUACACAAAUAAACGCACAACAAAAACAAAAGGGUAGGGUAAUCAAAUCGGACAUGUCACGUGCUUCACGCCACCUGCCCUUACCGGCCACCUGCCCAUAUGUAAAGAAAAGAAACAUGGAGUCAGAUGACAAAUCACAGCGAGUCCUCAAUACUUAUAACCGAGAUACUCAUGAUCUCGAAAGAUACCAAGACAUAAUUCAUCCCAUGCACUACAGAAACAAUGACAUACUAUCUCAUAUACCUAUAUGAACUCACAGAUCAUGACCAUUCCGGUCUCCCACAACCCUAGCCUAGAUCUUAUCAUAACUAUCCUACUACAACUAUGUGAGACUUCGGUUCUGUUUCCGAGUCAUACUACCGGUACAUGUAGUGAGAUAUGUCAUUUCCUACUUGCGUACACAUUAGAUUUGUAUUGUCCUUUACACUAUAGGACUAGGGUUAUCUUAUAAUUAUUACUCGGUUCUGUUCUCUAAGUAUAGAUCCAUUAAACGAUUUAUUCUAGAGACGUUCAGCUUUACUUGAUCACUUGAGACUUCCUUUGAUCGAAUACGGUAAUCACUUCCAUUUCCUAAUCCUAAAUCAUCACUAGCCCUAUUGAUUUCCCCUAAGUUAUACCAUCAAAUCCUAAGCUAUACUUCAUUCCUGGACCAUUACCUAUUUGCAAGGCCUAUACUACCUCGCAUACAGAAUCCGGAGCUUUAGAUUAUGAACAUCACAAGCGGGAUGGGGAAGCUGGGCUCAUUACGGUCUGGCCGUAAUGUGGGCUAUGGCCCAUAAUGUGCCCAAGCAUCCCUAGUACAUUUUUCCCGGGGCUGUUACGGCCCACCUGUAAUGCACGUUACGACCUGUAACACGCCCAGGCUCGAAAUUUCAUCUUCUUCCUCAUGUGUACCUGCAAACACAGUUUUCCAGCUCUCUUUUCUUCCAUGCAUUGCACUGCACGCAUGAUCAAUCACUGUAAUAACAGUAUAAGGCAACAUGCACCCAAUCUAACACAUACUCAGGAGUUAUUUCAUGCAUUCCCGUCAUUGCUAUCUAGCAUGCAAUAAUUCUAUUUCAACUACCCAAGCAUCAAAGCCUAAGAGAACCCACCUUGAGGAUGAUUCUGAGCUCAAAGAGGUUGAAGAGAGAUGUAGAUAAACCCUGGAUGCUCCUUCCUUGAUGUUCUAGCAAGACUCUCUCUUCUACAUGCAAGGUGUAUGGAUGUGGACUUGAAACCUCCUUCCCUCUUCUCUCGCCCCUUCUUUCUCUCCACCUUGGCUCUCCUCUCCUUCUCACACUUACAGGUUCUGAUUGUGAGGUGAAUUAUGUGAGAAAUCUCUCGCAUCUUGGUAAAAUAUGGUGAGGUAGUAAGUAAAACUCCUAAUGCCCUCAAUUUAAUCAAUAAUGCCAAAACACUCAUAAUGUUUCUAACUAAGUAAAACUCUCUUCUUUAACAACAUAAUCACUACUAACUUAAUUUACAAAAUAGGAGGUAUUACAUUUUGUAUCAAUAAAAGAAGUUCAGAAUAGAAACGUUUUCAUUUGCAAAGUGGGGAUUGUUAUUAAGCUUUGAAUGCUUAUUUUAUUGAACAAUUUGGGUAAAUAUUGAAUUGUCUGCAGAACCUGGGAACUGAUGGCACCAUGGACUGGAGAUCAGAUAAAAGUACCUGUCAAGUUCAUUGUAGGAGACCUGGACCUUACAUAUAACACGCCAGGCGUUAAG